UAAAUAAUUUUCUAACCUUUAUUCAGCAAUUUUAGUUAUUUCUCUACAUCAUUUAUAUUACAUGUAAUACACACUUAUGAAAGCUCACUCUACAAUUUAUUAUUAUUUAUUUUUUAUAUACAAAUACACUUUUUGAAU